rnacentral:misc_RNA from 1 species
CGAAGAUGCACGUACACUUUAUUGUGGGAAUCUAAGUGAGAAAGUCACUGAGGAUAUUCUCUACGAGUUAUUCUUACAAUCCACUUCAUCAGGGCGAGGAACAGCCUGAUAUUGAACUGUUCCUCCAGGGUUCCUCUUCUGAACUGACCUCGUUCCUUUUUUAUAUUACGCUACUUGUUGGAGUGGCGUUACUACAUCCCAUAAGAAUAAUACAAAUGAUUUGCGCAUGCAUAUCGAAAUAAACAAGAUGUUUGGAAUUUAAAUGUCAAAACUUCGGGAGCGUGUAAGGGAUCGGGUUUCCCACACAAAGAAGUUCAGUGGUUUGAAGUUCAUCAGGAUGACCAAGACAAUAGUAAUUCACUCGAUGACUUCCGACAAGUACUGACGAAUUUACAUUUAUUUUAG